AUUGAACGCUGGCGGCAGGCCUAACACAUGCAAGUCGAGCGGAUGAAGGGAGCUUGCUCCUGGAUUCAGCGGCGGACGGGUGAGUAAUGCCUAGGAAUCUGCCUGGUAGUGGGGGAUAACGUCCGGAAACGGGCGCUAAUACCGCAUACGUCCUGAGGGAGAAAGUGGGGGAUCUUCGGACCUCACGCUAUCAGAUGAGCCUAGGUCGGAUUAGCUAGUUGGUGGGGUAAAGGCCUACCAAGGCGACGAUCCGUAACUGGUCUGAGAGGAUGAUCAGUCACACGGGAACUGAGACACGGUCCAGACUCCUACGGGAGGCAGCAGUGGGGAAUAUUGGACAAUGGGCGAAAGCCUGAUCCAGCAAUGCCGCGUGUGUGAAGAAGGUCUUCGGAUUGUAAAGCACUUUAAGUUGGGAGGAAGGGAAGUAAGUUAAUACCUUGCUGUUUUGACGUUACCAACAGAAUAAGCACCGGCUAACUUCGUG
rnacentral:rRNA from 1 species